CUACGGGCGGCAGCAGUGAGGAAUAUUGCACAAUGGGGGGAACCCUGAUGCAGCAACGCCGCGUGGAGGAUGACGCAUUUCGGUGUGUAAACUCCUUUUAUAUGUCAAGAAAAUGACGGUAGCAUAUGAAUAAGCACCGGCUAACUCCGUGCCAGCAGCUGCGGUAAUACGGAGGGUGCAAGCGUUACUCGGAAUCACUGGGCGUAAAGGACGCGUAGGCGGGUUGGAAAGUCAGGUGUGAAAUCCUACAGCUUAACUGUAGAACUGCACUUGAAACUUCUAAUCUAGAGUAUGGGAGGGGGAGAUGGAAUUAGUGGUGUAGGGGUAAGAUCCGUAGAUAUCACUAGGAAUACCUAAAGCGAAGGCGAUCUCCUGGAACAUUACUGACGCUAAGGCGUGAAAGCGUGGGGAGCAAACAGGAUUAGAUACCCGUGUAGUC
rnacentral:rRNA from 1 species